ACGUUGGAUACUGGAGCGGGGAAGGAUUUCGUGCCAACGGCACUCGUACACGAGUUGUUCGGAUACUGAGCACAACGUUACACCGUUUUGUUAGGAAAGUGAAGGUGCGUCGGCGGCGUGCGUUUUUUUUUUGCUUUUUUUUUUUUUUUUAAAAAAAAAAAAAAAAAAGGCGCCCCCCCCUGGGCCUUUUUGAAAAGGGGGAAAAAA
rnacentral:rRNA from 1 species